UGCACCCAUUUGACUGAUUUACACCACAUAUAUGUGAGCACUGUGACAAAUCAUAUUAUGAUGUGUUAAUGUUUGAUCUUUUUCACAGGCACGAGAGGUUGACAGCAGAUGGAGAACUGACAACGCAUGACUGCACAGCUGUGCUCAGGGCCACGUGUGUGCGGCCACGACUCCGGUCCUGCAUCAGGAAGCGGAAGAGGGACGAUCUGGAUGGGACUGAAGAGAGAUUCUUCAUCUCAUCCGCGAGUGGAAGAAUACACAAUCCCUCCAAUGACCUCCGACGGCUGCACAUAAGGUAUGGCGUCAGACCAUGGGUGACCAGCCAGAGAGCACGCCGGGCCUUCGAGACAGCCACCAAGAGUCUGACUGACACAGAAGUAUCUGGUGGCUGACUACGUAACACAUUCGACUGCUACAGCGGAGAAACAUUACCGCGUGAAGCAGGCUGACAACGCAGUGAGGGCUAGUCAGCUCCUGGAUUCGCUGGCUGGUCAGUCAACCACUGAUCCUUCAGAAGGGGAAUCCAGCCUGUAGCAUUGCUCGCGGUGCCGCCCAGCAGAAAGCAGCCACGACAGAUCUGCAAGAUAAGACUCUGCGCGCUGAAAUCUCAGCUAGCUUUCAGCGGAAGCUGUACGAGUGAUUGUUUGAAGGCACAGAUGAAACUGCACAAGCAGCAUAUUCACUGUAUUCACAAGUAUUUUUUUAAACUAUAUUUAAAGAUAUUUACCAAGUAACAUGAAAGAUUGUUAGUUAAGACUAUACUUGACAACUUUGAACAUGGCAUGUUUUCUUGAUGGCGCCCUUUGGCCCUCGUCUACUCAGUGAGGAAAAGGUCAGCAAGUGGAGGACCAACAUACCCAGUGCAGCCCAGUUCGUGAAGAAUGGAAGCCCCCUGGAUCCAUGGACACAGCAAUGGACGCUAAACAAAGCCGGACACGCACCAGGACACAGAAGUGAAAGGACUUCUUGUGACAGAAGAUGAAGGGCAAGGGCAUUAUUGCAACGUAAAGAUUUCUGGCUGGCGAGGUGGUGUGUGACCAUCACGGGCAGGUCAUCACAGCCUCAGAGGGACACAGCGCUCACAGCACUGUUUGCUGAGCGCAACAUUGUCCACUGCUUGCGGUGCAAGAAGCCGCAGAAGCAUCUCGCUGGCCACCUGCUAGAGUGUGUAUGAAAGACAGCACAGCAGAAGAAAGGCAAGCUGAGAUCCAGAAGGCCAAGGUAUCUUCCAGACGGUGGGUCUGGAGAAACAGGACCUGGGACUACCGCCAGCUUUGUUCUAUCCUGCCCCACAGUCCGUGUGCUUCUUUACUGGUGGAAGAGUUUCAGAGGCGUGGGUUCUUUAUCACCAACAUGCCACAAGAGUCAGACAUGGCUAUGGACUCCGGUGAUGCCGCCUCCUCACAACAGGGUUCGCCUUCUGAUCAGAGAAAAAAUGGAGACAUAUGAUGAGUGUUCGCACACUGACACAGUACCAGGCCAUUUUGGAGGUAGCCAGGAUCGACUUCCUGAUAAUCUUUCGGAAGCUGGUCUCAAGCACAGAGGUCCUCUCGACAGAGGAGACCGGCUAUCGCCGCUACUGCACGGCACUUUUGGUGUCGCGUCACUUUCAGUGCCCGGCAGCUGCGCAAGGCCUGACCGUGAGUGCAUCUAUUAACGGUCUAAAUGACUUUUCUCCUUUAAUAUGCUGUGGUGGUUAUUCGGAGAUGUGGUCACUAACAAAUUCUGCCUUUUCAUUGUUUUUCGGGUGUCAGAGCGGGUCAACAGGAAGGAAGUUGACGACAGGGUGGUGAUUGGCUUCGGCCGAGACGGAACGAUGCAGCAGGCUGCCUGUUUUGCCUUUUAACUUUCCCCAACUUUCUUGUUAUUUUAGUAACGAGGGGAGAAGUUGUUAUUGCUUAAAUGAUGGUUUUGCUAUUUGUAAUUUACCUUACAACCUAAAAGAAAAAAUAAAAACAAAACACUGCUUGUAAACCUGUUGAUUUCGUCCUUGUCAUCUGAUGCAUAUUGUUUUGCUCUCUUUUGCAGGAGUUGUUGCAACCCAACCCUUUUCCAAGGGUGACAUCGUGUGUGAUGACCGUGGGAAGGUAAUCACAGCGGCCCAGGGAAAAGUCAUGAUGCAGAAUCUACAGGAUGAAGCACCAGAGUACCUGGUUUUUCUUCAGGACCGGGCAGAGGCAUCUCCGCAUCGACGCCCAGACUUUUCCCUGUGAAUGCCACCCCUGUGCAGACACUGUGGGCAGAAGACUGAAGCAUUCAUCCAAGCAAGCCGACCUGUGUUCUAAAUAAAAACAGCUUUUUUUACUUAAAUAUACUUGCCUAAAAGGUUUUUUUUUUGGUAUCAGUAUCCUGCCUUCCUGACCAAUCAUUAAUAAAGUUUAUCUAUAUAUUACAGGGUAAACUUAAAUUCUUGUUAUAAAUAGCUCUCUCUCUCCCUCUCUCUAUCUAUCUCUCUCUAGCUGUCUCUCACUCUCUCGCUCUAGUUCUCUCUCUGUCUAGCUCUCUUUCUAUCUAUCUAUCUAUCUAGCUCUCUCUAUCUUAAUAUUUAAAUAAGAAUGUAUAUCGAUAAGAUAAAAUUGUGUUGAAACUUCGCGUGUGCGCGUGCACGCUACAGGAGAUCAAUAAAGGUACGUCUUAUCUGAAUCGUGCUCUUUAUAACUUUAUUCAACUUCUGAGCUCCUGCGGUUUCUCUGCCUCAGUUACUUCACUCGAGUUUAUAAUCGCUUUCAACCAAACGCUCUGUUGAACUUUCUGCCAUGUUUUCUCUGUAAGGUGGAAGCUAUAGGGUCCUGUCUUUC